rnacentral:rRNA from 1 species
GUACGGGUUGUGAGAGCAAGAGCCCGGAGAUGGAUUCUGAGACACGAAUCCAGGCCCUACGGGGUGCAGCAGGCGCGAAAACUUUACAAUGCUGGCAACAGCGAUAAGGGAACCUCGAGUGCCAGGUUACAAAUCUGGCUGUCGUGAUGCCUAAAAAGCAUUGCAUAGCAAGGGCCGGGCAAGACCGGUGCCAGCCGCCGCGGUAACACCGGCGGCUCGAGUGGUAACCGUUAUUAUUGGGUCUAAAGGGUCUGUAGCCGGCCGGAUAAGUCUCUUGGGAAAUCUGGCAGCUCAACUGUCAGGCUUUCAGGAGAUACUGUCUGGCUCGAGGCCGGGAGAGGUGAGAGGUACUUCAGGGGUAGGGGUGAAAUCUUGUAAUCCUUGAAGGACCACCAGUGGCGAAGGCGUCUCACCAGAACGGACCUGACGGCAAGGGACGAAAGCUAGGGGCACGAACCGGAUUAGAUACCCGGGUAGUCCUAGCCGUAAACGAUACUCGCUAGGUGUCGGCCACGGUGCGACCGUUGUCGGUGCCGUAGGGAAGCCGUGAAGCGAGC